rnacentral:sRNA from 1 species
CCCAGCGUUCACACGCUGGGCUAAUCUUUGGCGCGCCUACGGCGCU